GAAAUAAGAUGAUCAAAAGUGAGCUGCUAACUUAUCUUUUAGCGGUUAAAUUCCGUUGUUAUUUCU
rnacentral:tRNA from 1 species